rnacentral:lncRNA from 1 species
UAUCAUGAUUAAAACUCCUGCCUCCUUUUUCUCAUUUGAACCCCAAUAGAUUUUGCUCCAGACUUUGACCCUCAUCCUGUGUGUUUCUACCUUCCUCAUGUGUGUUACUUGUAGACAACAUAUGCAAGAAAACUGACAAAAACUUUAAAAAGAGUAAAAUGCUCUUCAUUAAGGGAAGACUCAAACCUAAGAAAUAUAAAAUUGAUAUUCCUGCAACACAGGCAUGCCCUUGUCACUUACCUGCUCAAGAAGCUUCAGAGCCUCUCAGUUCCCUCUAGGUCAAAAUACAAAAUGUGGCACUUCAAGCCCUUCAAAAUCUGGUACCUGCUUAUCUUCGUAGGCUGAUUACAUAUUACCCAUCUAUGUUCCAACCAAAUCGUUCUACUUGAUAUUUGACAUUCCACAUUGCAUAUGCUUUCCAUCUUGCUUGAAAUUCUCUUGCCCUUCACCUAUGCCUCUUGGAACCAUAGGUGCUUCCUUUGAGAUUCAGCUAUAGUGCUGUCCUUAUAAGUGGUCUUUCCUGAUUCCUUCAGGGGUUAGUAUUUCCCAUCUCUCUAAAACUACUUUGUAUUUAUCGAGGUAUCUAUGCAAGUGCUUAUUGUCAUCCUUUCCUCGUUUCUCCCUCUGUCCAUCCCUAAUACCC